AUGCAGACAAUCAAAUCCUCAUAAUCUUAGCAAAUCUUAUCAUUAAUCCUCUGCCAUAUUAAAUUAAACAAAAGCCAAGUUUCCUUCUAUUAUUUCAUCCGCUCUUUCCUUCUCUUUUCAACACACCCAACAAAGUUUAAAGUGCAGAGAAAUCAAGCAGAUUCAGAUCCAAAUUCAUUGUUAAAUUGUUGAUUCGCAGAUCCAACUUUGUGAGUUAAGAAAAUUAUCAAGGUUACCUCCUACUUUCUCCAUACAUUCAUUUGUUAAAUUUCAAAACUUUGAUUCAAAUGAAAACAGCAGCUAACACACGCAUCCAUUACCACUUCUUUUAGACUAUAAAUGUUUCAAUUACAUCAGCUUAUCACCAUCAGAGAGCCACCAACAGAAUAAUACACACGCACACAUUUUACUAUAUUCUCUAAUCUAUUACAUGUACAAUCAGUUUUAAUAAAAAGAAAUGAAUGAUUGAAAGACCAGAUUAAUAAAACCCUACUUUUGCUUUUGUGCGUGUGACUGGAAUUUGGGGGGGAUGAGUCUCCUGUCCUUGUGUGUCCGAGUCAGGGGAGGGAGUGAGACAGCCGGCGGCUGCUCACGGCCGGCAACGGCGCGGCGGCAGGCGGCGCUCAGUCCCUGUUCUGCCAGAAAACAAGAGAGGAGAGGAGAGAGUUUAGGAUUUCAGUUUUCAAAUAAAAAAAAAAAAGAGAGAAAGGGAAGGACAGAGAGAAAA